ensembl:snoRNA
AGGUCACUUCAAAGAGGGCUCAGGGAGCUGUGAAGCCAGAAGGUCUAAGACUGAACAAAGACUGAUGUUCCCCAGUGGAUGCCACAGACACUCAACAGUGUCAUUUCCCAAAGGAGACAUGAGA